rnacentral:rRNA from 1 species
UAGGGUUUGAUUAUGGCUCAGAACGUACGCUGGCGGCACGCCUAACACAUGCAAGUCGAACGCUAGUAGCAAUACUGAGUGGCAAACGGGUGAGUAUAAUGUGGGAAUCUGCCUUUUGGUUUGGAAUAACACGGGGAAACUUGUGCUAAUACCGAAUAAGCCCUAACGGGGAAAGUUUUAACGCCGAAAGAUGAGCCCGCACUUGAUUAGCUAGUUGGUAAGGUAAAAGCUUACCAAGGCAAUGAUCAAUAGCUGUUCUUAGAGGAAGACCAGCCACAUUGGGACUGAGACACGGCCCAGACUCCUACGGGAGGCAGCAGUGGGGAAUCUUGCACAAUGGGAGAAACCCUGAUGCAGCGAUGCCGCGUGAGUGAAGAAGGCCUUUGGGUUGUAAAACUCUUUCGUCGGGAAGAAAAUGACUGUACCCGAAUAAGAAGGUCCGGCUAACUUCGUGCCAGCCGCCGCGGUAAUACA